rnacentral:misc_RNA from 1 species
CGCACAUUGCGCCCCCUGGCAUUCCGGGGGGCAUGCCCGUUCGAGCGUCAUAUAACACUCACGCCUAGCGUGGUAUUGGGCCUAAGAUCUGGGGUCAGGCCCCAAACAAAAUGGCUAGAAAUCAGUAAAUGGGGAGUGCUAGAGCAUGGUGCCGCAAAUGUCGAUACAUAUAUGCGGCGCGGAGUUUGUAGUCCCUUGCCCUAUGCAUUCGCAUCGGUGACUCGCACCGAACACCAGUUUGACCUCGGAUCGGGUAGGAAUACCCGCUGAACUUAA